GCCAUUCUGCCUCAGCCUCCCGUGAGUCUGAGUAGCUGGGACUACAGGCACUCACCAACACAGCCGGCCAAUUUUUUUUGUAUUUUUAGUAGUGACAGGGUUUCACUGUGCUAGCCAGGAUGGUCUCCAUCUUCUGACCUCAUGAUCUGCCCACCUACGCCUCCCGAAGUGCUGAGAUUACAUGCGUGAGCCACUGCACCAGACAAAGUCUCUCUGUGUUGCCCAGGCUGGACUUCAAUGGCACGACACUGACUCACUGCAACCUCUGCCUCCGAGGUUUGGGUGAUUCUCCUCUCUUAGCCUCCUGAAUAGCUGGGAUUACAGGUGUGCACCACUAUGCCCAGGAUUAUGCUCCAUGGCCCAGGCUGGACUACAGUGACAAGAUGAUAGCUCGUAACUCAAUGAGGCCUCACAUCCAGGGUUCAAGGAAUACUCCUGCCUCAGCAUUCUACCUAGUUGGGAUUAGAGAAAUGCACCACCAUGUCCCAAUCGCCUCAUUACUUUUACUAAAUAUGAGUAGCAUUUUAUGACUACCUUUUUAAAGAAAAAACAAAACUUACUUGGUGUUCACUCAUUUUUCAGAGACAACAUUUUAGAAUGUAAAGCAAGAAUCUCAUGAUAAUAAAACAGCAAUAUUAAUUGGCAGUACAAAAUUGAUUUCAAUUCUGGUAGUAAAUGAACACACACGAUGGGUAAAGCAAUUUUCAAUGGCAACAAUAAAAUUUGCCUGAUUUGCUAAUCAUCAGUCAUUUUCUUUCAGAGCUGGCUAAAUUGCAACAUCUUUACAUUGCCAACUUUUUACUGUUCUUAGGAGUCAAUAUUAAAAAUCACAAAAAAGACUUCUGUCUUUUUUGUCAUUACCAUGACAGAUAAAUAAAAUAGUUUGUUUCUCUCUACCAUGUAUCUUACUUAAUAAAAUGAUAUUAUAUUCCAAGUCAGAGGCCAGGUUUUUUUUCAUUUUGCCAUAGGAACAUUUAUAAUAUAAAUUUCUUUUGAAAAAGGUAAUUUUUAUAAUCUAAUUUCAGGUAAAGAAUAACAUGGAGAGGCUUCUUGUAACACUUAAACAGUACACAUUUCAUUAUCUUAUUCUCUUAAAAAUUAUAAUAAAGUAAAAAUCAUGCCAUUUGCCACAUUAUUAAUAGCAUCAAAAGUUUUCAUGUGAAAUUUGGAUUAAUAUUAUCUUUGCCUAUAUUGUUAUCUGCUGCCUUGAACAGUGUUGAUCUCAGUUGAACACUGCCUGUUGAAUAGACUAAAUGUUCAUUAGAAAAAAAGAUUCCAAGCUUAUCUUAAUAAGGAGAAUAAUAAAUUUAUGCAUGAAACCCACAUUAAUCCACAUCAACUAUUUUCCACAUUAACCCAACAUGGAUACCUUUACUGUAAUCACCUCCUUGGAUGAGAUGAGGCUAAGAUGUGAUUUAGCCUUACUUUAGAGCAAAUACAAGAAGUUACAUAGUAAACAAUAUAUGACUACAAACAAUUUUUUAAAUGGCAUAAAUUAAUUUCCAUUGAUAGGAACUCAAUGUCAUUCAUACAACAUUAAUUAUCUGCUUGAAAUCUAUGAUGGUGGACCAAAGAACAAUUAGAAAAUUUUAAUUGCUAAAAUCUAAUAUUUCAGUUGUUUAAAUUUAAAAUUAUCUUUUGCCUUUAAUUAUUGUGUUCUACAGCUUCAUAGUAACUUUAUUUUAUUAUCAGGUUUUCAUUGUGCUUAAUAUAAUGUCUAUUGAGUGAAAAUGGUGUGUUUGUGUGUAGGUGUGUGUGUACAGCGUUUCCAGAUAUAUAGUAUGAUUGUUUCUAGAAUCCUAUAACAAUAACACUUUGAAUCUCCUGGCAGAGUUGGGAAACUAAUUUUGGUGCAAUUCUUAGGCUUAUUUUACUGCAGAUGACACAACUAAGAAUUCUAGAAGAAUGCUGAAGAUCUGUGUUUAGCAUAAACAUAGUUCUUUAAAAUUAUCAUUUUUCUCAAAACCAGUCUGGCCACAAUUGUGAAACCCCAUCUCUUCUAAAAAUACAAAAAUUAGCCAGUCAUGGUGUCAGGCACUUGUAAUCCCAGCUACUCAGGAGGCUGAUGCAGAGAAUUGCUUGAACCCAGGAGGCAGAGGUUUCAGUGAGCCGAGAUUCCGCUCCUGCACUCCAGCCUGGGUGAGAGUGAGAAUUCUUCUUACACACACACACACACACACACACACACAAAUAAUAGUGAUAAUAAAUAAAAAAGAAAAACUCUUCUUCUUACAUACUGAUUAAACUAACUACUUAGAGGCUACGGAUUGCUUUUGGAUAACUUAAUGUUGUCUGCCAUGAUAACAUCAACUUUUUCUAAAAAGUUUCCAUUCUAGUACCUUACUUUCUAUGACUGUUUUUCAUUGUUACUUCUGUAGUAACACAUGUAUGCUUUUAGAUGAUUCCAAAUUCUGGACAUUUGUAUCCAUUGCAGUUUUUUAUUUGGUGACCCGUAUGUUUCUAAAAGGCAAUCUGCUCAAACAGGUUCACUUUUUUCUAUCAGUAAAUUGCAUUACUAUUCUCUCAGCUUAUCAAAUCACACCCAGGACAGAGGUGUUAACAUCUCUUUCCUACUCCACUUUCUCAAAUAUCCAGUUGGUAACCCCUGCCUAUUCUAACUCAUGAAGAGCUCAUAAAUCUGUCCACACAUAUGUUCUACAUUGCCAGCUUUUCUAAUGUAGAGCACCCACAAUCUUUUUCUACAGAUAAUUUUGAAUACUUCCUUACUGUGGUAUAUUGUGAAAUUUUCUAUGCUAUAGCCAGUGAGAUGUUACUAAUAUAUGCCUUUUUUUAUCCUCUGAUGGUUUAUCAAAUCACACUGAAUAUCUCACAUAAUUGCUAAAAAGCCAAGUUAUGUCAAAACUAAGUCUGUACCCACUGUCUACUUAAAAAAAAAUCAACUUAACAAAGCAACCCUUUUCAACUGCAAGAUGCUUUCUACUCUCCAAAUCUAAGUCACAUAUGCCCUAUAAUAGGCAGAAGAUCACCCUGUAUUGUAUUUUUUUUGGUUCAUUAUGAUGUUUUGUAUCCCACCUGGGCUGUUAUUCUGUACUGUAUUUUCAAAAUCAUAAUUAAGACAGAUUCAAAAUACUUUAUCUGAAAUUCAAAAAGCUCAAUUAAGCAAGACUUUUUAAAAUGAGAUUGGCAUGUAACUCAAUUUCUGAUGUAAUAAAGCCUUAAUUGAGGG